rnacentral:rRNA from 1 species
AGCAGUCGCCACGGUAAUACGGAGGGUGCAAGCGUUAAUCGGAAUUACUGGGCGUAAAGCGCACGCAGGCGGUCUGUCAAGUCGGAUGUGAAAUCCCCGGGCUCAACCUGGGAACUGCAUUCGAAACUGGCAGGCUAGAGUCUUGUAGAGGGGGGUAGAAUUCCAGGUGUAGCGGUGAAAUGCGUAGAGAUCUGGAGGAAUACCGGUGGCGAAGGCGGCCCCCUGGACAAAGACUGACGCUCAGGUGCGAAAGCGUGGGGAGCAAACAGGAUUAGAUACCCCGGUAGUCCCUGUCUCUUAUAC